CUUCUGCUGGAGCUGGGCUAAUGUCCAGGGAUCAGCCCGCCUUUCUGGACGUCCUGGCGUUGACCCAGGGCCUGUGCUCCAUCUUGGCACAAACCUUUCUCCAACCCCAGCAGAGCCAGCUGCACCUCACCUUUGCUUCAGAGUGAUCUGUAGAGUUUUCACGCCAGUCACACACGUGCACACACACCCCUACAACAUACACGCACACAACCCCCCACAACAUAUACACACAUGCAACCACCCACAAUAUACAGGCACACACACCCUCUCAACAUAUACACACAUGCACACCCCCCCAACAUAUACACAUGUGCACACACACUCCCACAACAUACAUACAUGCACCCCACACAACAUAUACACAUGCACACAUACUCCCACAACACACACAGGCACACACACCCCUGCAACAUAUACACGCAUGCACACACACACACCCUCACAACAUACACACAGGCCCACACACCCCUGCAACAUACACGUAUGUGCACACACACCUCCAAAACAUAUGCAAACAUGCAACCCCCACAACAUACACAUGUGCACCCCAACAUACACACAUGUGCACACACACCCCCACAACAUACACACAUGCACCCCUCCAGAACCAGUACACAAGCACACCCCCCCACAACAUAUACACACAUGCACACACACCUCCACAACAUACACAUACACACCCUCACAACAUACACAUAUGUGCACACACACUUCCACAACAUAUGCAAACAUGCACACCCCCACAAGAUACACAAGUGCACCCUCAACAUAUACACAUGUGCACACACACUCCCACAACAUAUACAUACAUGUACACCCCCACAACAUAUGGACAUACACACACACCCCACAACAUAUACACACCUGCACACACACCCCCACAGCAUAUACAUGCACACACACCCUCACAGCAUAUACACAUGUGCACACACACCCCCAGAACAUAUGCACACAUGCACACACCCCCAAACAUAUAUACACGUUCACACACACACCCCCACAGCAUGCACAAAUGCACACACACCCUCACAUUUACACACAUGCACACACCCCCUACAUUACACAUGUGCACCCCCCAAGAUACACACACAUGCACACCCCCACAACAUAUACACACAUGCACACACACACCCACAACAUAUACACACGCACACACACCUCUAAGCUGGUCUCCCAAGGGCAUCACUGCUGCCUGGCAGAGUCCCCUGAGCUCCCCCCAGGCAGGCCCUCACAGCUCUGUGCCUCUCACACCCAGGGCUUCACCCACAGCAUGAACACAGGAGGGCCUUCAGUUGAACACCACACUGAGCAUGCUUCUCCCCUCUGAGCAUCUCCCUGCAGGACCUGUGGAGCCCAG
rnacentral:lncRNA from 1 species